UGAUAAUGAUAUAUUUCGGCUGCACCGGUCUACAUUUAUAAUGCUAAUGUAGAGCUUUAGUGCAUUGUACAUGAUGCAAUAGAGUUUCAAUGCAACAUUAGUGCAAAUGUAUAGCCAAUAUUGUGCAAUGGCUUAAUGCUUUUGGUUACUUGGGACAUUGAUUCAAAGACAAAACUGCUUUUUUCGUUUUCCAAGAUGAUCGCCUAUUGAGGCGUUCUCAGUUGAACCUUAAAGCAUUUGUCUGUCAGAGGUUCUUUAGCGUAGAUGCACGCAAUAUGCGAUUGUUGCAGCACCCUGUCAGAGCCCGUGCCACUAACGUUUGGCCGAUGAGGCGCGUACCACUACGCUAAUAGGGCAGCAGCAUAAACGUCAGUCGUAGAGCGGAAGAAACCAGAUUAAAGUUUGAUAUAAAAUUACGAGUGAGUUGAUAGAAAGUUAUCGGUAUUUUACGGUGUUGAGCUAUCUUUUCGGCAAUAGCGGAUUAAAUACGGUGCAGUACAGGUAAAAAUUAAAACAAAUCAAACGCGAAUUAAAAUAUUACAUGAAGAAAACUGGAAGUCAAUUGAAUUUCGUGCUAUUUAGAUUCCGACAUAUUCUAAACGUCAUUACGAAGGUUUCGUGCUAUUAAUUAAACGUGUUUAGUACGGUCACGGUAUCACAGAUCUUAUUGUAUUGAGGAUAAAAUCACAGCAGGAAGGAGUAAAAAACUAAAUUUUGAUCUGUUACACCAAAAAGCAGAAUUACAAAAGAGUUUUUAACGGCGAUUCCGAACAUGCGAUGAUGUUUGUAAUACGGUCAAAACCCUCAACCUAGGGGAGCAAUCAAACUGUAGUCGAGUUUCAAGACAAUUUUUUUUUAUUUCGAUUAUAAAGGGUUUCAACCUUUAAAGCAAGAAAUGAGAAACUGUAAUGUUGUAAGUAAAAAUAAGAAUUCAGUAGAAAAUUUUCCAUGCAUCGAAAAGAAACCAUCCAUAAAUGAUGUCACCCAAAAAUUUCCCAAAAUUGACGCAUUCCGUCUUCAUCACUUCCCUCUCUUUAAUACAUCACGACGUUUUUAAUUUUCACCUAUCACAAUUUGUUAUAUCGCCAAACCCAUUAAAAGCGUGGCUUUUUCAAUGGUCCCUAAUUAUGAGUAAAAAAAUGAGUUCAUGAAAAUUCAACUUUGUCCAAAUUGGCGAAGCGCUAUCUAUAUCCGUGCAAUAGAAUUUCUAUAGCCACUUUGAUUUGAUCACAAAAAUUGGCAUUCCUCAAAAGCGUGUUUUGAGCCACGAAGGCGUUGCUAUAUUAGCUCUUCAAGUAUUUUACAUUAGAUAGUAUUAUUGGGUAAUCGGUUGCAGC